rnacentral:lncRNA from 1 species
AACUUGUUAUAUUUAUGACAGUAUAAUUGAGUUCAAAAAGUCGGCAAACAUACACUUAGAUUUACCCAUGGCUUUUUUUGUUGACAAACAGCACACAUACCUUCUGUCCCAAUAUCCUCAAUAGAGCCAUUAAAUAUCUUCUCCUUUUUGGUUAAGUUAAUGUUUUACAUAUUAAUUAUAUUUGCAUCUAUAAGAAGAAUCAUAAAAGCACCAACCCUUUAGUUUUCAAAACGGUUUCAUUUUAUUCUGAACUCGUAAUUCUUUAGUUGCAUAUUUGUUUCGUUUUAUGGAGACAAAAAAAAAUGGUCGCUUAAAAAGACACUUAAUUUGGUGAAGGUAGUCCAACUGAAGAGAGCAUUCUUCUUUUAUGUUUUUGCUGUUUAGGUUUCUAAAGCAGCAAUUACAUGUAAAACAGUGGUUGCCAAUUAGAGAUUUUUAUUCAUGUUAAGAUUUGAAAUAUUGUGUACUAUUCCUUAUAUAUGUAUAUACAUAAUAUAAGCUUAUUAUUACACUUGCAUAUUUGAAAAACACGUCA